AAAUCAUAACUACAGUACUUGACCCUGCUCCGGGGGAAGUCACAUGGCAAAUUGGAGCUAUACGUACCUUAAGUCACACAGCACAACCUUUGAUAUUUUACUUUACUUGUGAUGUUUGUUUUUAUAGGACAAACAAAACUUUGGAUGCAUGCAGUUUAUUAGGGUGUUUUUUAUAGUUAUUCUUAAAUCAAAUUAGAGAUUUUUUUUUUUUUAUCAAUCUGCUUAAUAAAGAUUUGCAUUCAACAUGUUAUCGAGAUGAAACUUCAAUUCUGAUUAGAGAGCAGCACCAAAAGACUGCACUGGGGUUACCCCUUUUGUGGUGGCAGGGAUUGAAUUUAGCAAAAUAAUUAUAGCUCAAAAAAGAUGUGAGGUGUGUGGAGGGUCAGGGCUUGUUCUUAGGGAAAAGGAAAAGGACUAUCUCCGUUGCCCAGAAUGUGGUGUAUCCACAACUUCCACUUGCAGAAGAGAAGUGUGAAGAAGCUGAAUCAAGAGUUAGGCAACUAGAACAACAUGUAAUACAUGACGAUGUUUGUCAGCUUAUUGCCCUACUGCACAAGUGAACCACUAAGAACGUGCUAGUAUAACAAUUUGGAUGUGGUUAUAGGUUUAAACAUUAGUACCAUUGUUUCCCAAAAAAGAAAAGAAAAAAAGAAAAUCUAAUGCACAAGCAUGCAUGCGAUGUUUACAUGUCAGCUGGGGACGCGUAAUCUAAGGUUGUGGAACAAAAUUUGUAACCGGUUAUUUGUCGAAGUAAAUAUGAAUUAGGAAAUUGUCAUCUGCUACUUCUUUAUAAUAGAACGAUAAAAAUGAAAUUUGUCUAAGAUGUUGGCAAUUUUUAUGUUAAUUGUAACAUUUUAGAUGCAAAAUUAUAAUGUUAUUAUAGUACC